UGCCCCCUCCUCUGCUUCCUUUCUGCUGGAUGAGCAUGCUCCUCUGUGGUAUCUUAAUGUUUCCAUGUACUUGGACAUGCCAGAGGCCAAAAUAAUGAAGCAAGUAACUGUGGACCAACACUCUGAAAACACGAACCAACCUUUCCUUCCUUUGACUCGUUUCUCUCAAGUAUUGUCACAGCAGUGGAGAGCUGGCUAGCACUUCUCCCAUGGACGUAUUUCCAAGUGUGGCACAUUCAUCAGAAUGUGGUUGAAGAAAGGCAGACGAGAGAUGGUUGGACUUUUGGAUGUCAUUAAUCCAUGUUCCUGCACAGGUUGAUGUCGGCUUCCUGCCUUGGUGUAGAGCUUAGACCCGUCAAUAUUCCUUCAAGGAUGGAGAGGAUCUCAUGAGGCCCCACCCCUCCGUAAGGAUUGAUAGACAGUUAAACAAGCUUGCUGAGGGGGAAGGAACAGAGAGAUUUUCCUCAGUGAUAUGAUAUAACUGCUGUCCCAUGUCCUGUAAAUAUCAUCUUACCCAUGUUCCUGUAAACAAUUCUAAUUAAAAUCACUGACUGAGUAACAAAACAACAAAAACUAACCAUGAAAGUAAAAGGAGAGAAUAAUGAAGAAUAGACAUGAUUCAAAUAUAUUAUAUAUGCAUGAAAAUGCAAUAAUGAAGCCUACUACUAUGUAUAAUUAAUGCUAAUAAAUACUAAUAAAAAGAUGCACAUUCAUAACAAUAAUUAUUUUUGAUAUAUAAUCAUGUGCAUUUAUUUAUCACCAUGUCACUAGUUUUGUGAAGAGCACUUUAAUUUAAAAUUUUUUCUUUAAUUUUCUUCAAGGUUGUGUUUUAUGUUUAAUAUAUUUAAUGCUGACAUCAUCAACUGAUUCAUUUAUGUGCAUCAUGCUUUUAUUAGUUAUGAAAAUUCUCUCUUGGAGUGCCUGUGGAAAUUAUGUUAUGGAAGAUAUUUCAAAUUGUACUUGUCUUAUAGUAUAUAAAA